rnacentral:rRNA from 1 species
UAUGGUGACUAUAUCAAGGGUGUUCACCUCUUCCCAUCUCGAACAGAGAAGUUAAGCCCCUUAGAGCCGAUGAUACUUGGGUAAAACCUGGAAAAGUAGGUCGUUGCCAAAU